rfam:Canis lupus familiaris chromosome 5, whole genome shotgun sequence.
GCCUGGGUGGCUCAGUGGUUGAGCAUCUGCCUUUGGCUCAGGCCAUGAUCCCGGGGUCCUGGGAUCAAGUCCCACAUCAGGCG